rnacentral:rRNA from 1 species
GACAGAGGAUGUAAGCGUUAUCCGGAAUGAUUGGGCGUAAAGCGUCUGUAGGUGGCUUUUUAAGUUCGCUGUCAAAUCCCAGGGCUCAACCCUGGAUAGGUGGUGAAAACUACUAAGCUAGAGUACGGUAGGGGCAGAGGGAAUUUCCAGUGGAGCGAUGAAAUACAUAGAGAUCGGAAGGAACACCAACGACAAAAGCACUCUGCUGGGCCGACACUGACACUGAGAGACGAAAACUAGGGGAGCGAAU